GUGGGGAAUAUUGGGCAAUGGGGGCAACCCUGACCCAGCAACGCCGCGUGAGGGAAGAAGGUUUUCGGAUUGUAAACCUCUGUCCUAUGGGAAGAAGGAAGUGACGGUACCAUAGGAGGAAGCCCCGGCUAACUACGUGCCAGCAGCCGCGGUAAUACGUAGGGGGCGAGCGUUGUCCGGAAUUACUGGGCGUAAAGGGUGCGCAGGUGGCCUGACAAGUCAGAUGUGAAAUACCGAUGCUUAACGUCGGGGCUGCAUUUGAAACUAUGAGGCUGGAGUGCAGGAGAGGGAAGCGGAAUUCCUAGUGUAGCGGUGAAAUGCAUAGAUAUUAGGAGGAACACCAGUGGCGAAGGCGGCUUUCUGGACUGUAACUGACACUGAGGCACGAAAGCGUGGGGAGCAAACAGGAUUAGAUACCCGUGUAGUCC
rnacentral:rRNA from 1 species